GGGGGCGCUCCCUGGAAGGCGGGCCGGGCGUCCGCGGACGUCACCCGCUGCGGGCCGAGCGCUGGUGCCUGGCCAGCCCUCAUUUGUUUGCUAACGACAGAAACCACACUAAGUGCUGCUGUAUCUAAGGGUUCGACGGAGGACGUUAACUUUCUCUCGACCUGUAAGGUAGACCUCAUUGUUCUCAUUUUACGGAGGAGAUGGAGACCCUGAGACUAAGAGCGAGCGACCUAACAGUUGUUAAGGAUACAGCUGAUGUACACAAGAAAAGUUGGGAUUGUCUGCCAGAGAAAACUGAAGAUUUUUGAAGUUACUGUGAUGCCAUUAUGAAUUUACUCCACAAACUUGGGAGUGUAAGAAAUACCUUAGGACUUUAUUUUAAAGGAUUUUGUUUAUUUGAGACAGAGGGUGGGGUGGGUAGAGAGUGAAUGUGCAGAGGGAGGAGCAGAGGAAGAAAGGAUAGGUGGACUCUAAGCUGAGUGCAGAGCCUCCAUUCCGGGCUGGACCUAAUAACCCAGAGGUCGUGACUGGAACCAAAAUCAAGAGUCUUUCGCUUAACCAACUGAGCCACCCAGGUGUGCCUGACUUUAUAGUUCAAUAAUAAAAUGAAAUCCGACUUUGUUCCCAUCCUGAUACUAAUGAGAAGUUAAAUCUUUGUCAUUGUCCUCUGCCUUAGCUAUAGAAUUGUGGGAAUGCCCUAGAGUGUCAGGUGGAAUCGGAAUGUUUGGGGAAAGACAAUGCAUCAUCAGAAUAUACCGUACAAAGCCCUGUGGUCCUGUCGGUGGUUCCAGGAUUCCUGAGACAUCUUCAGUAGGGGGUUCCUUUGUCUAGUUGUUGAACUUCUUUAAAAGCAUCUGAAGUCCUGUUCACUCCCUCAGGGUACCGGAGGGAGCCCACAGAAUCCAGAGACCUCUAUUUUCUUUCCAGUCUUAGAGGAAUCUCUUCUCUCUCCUAUGCUUUCAUCCUUGUUAUUUAAACUUUGAAAAGCCCUUGUCUUUCUCCUGUCUUGAUGACAUAGCAAGGAUUAAUUAAUAAAGGAUUAGAUUCCUUUGACAUUUUGUUAUUAACAGGAUAUUCUUGUAAAAUCUUGUCCUUCAAAAAAAAAAACAAAACAAAAAAAAAAAACAAAAAAAAAACUUGUCUUUCCAAGAAAGAAGUCAGACCUGUCUGUUGCAAUUGCAAUGAGUCAGGGGAUUUAUAUAGCCGGCAAGAACUGGCCCAUACUGUGUAAAACCGAUGUCAUCUAUGGCCAUUUUUCCUCUCCUUAUAGAAACCUUCCCUAACCAUCCUACUAAAGCAAGCCAGCCUUCCCUUAAUCUCUGUGAUACUAUCCUUUACGUUUCUUUUAUAGCAUUUAAUAAAUUCUUAAGUUAUCUUGU